rnacentral:rRNA from 1 species
GACGAACGCUGGCGGCGUGCUUAACACAUGCAAGUCGAACGGUGACGACGGGGCUUGCCCUGUCUGAUCAGUGGCGAACGGGUGAGUAACACGUGAGUAACCUGCCCUUGACUCUGGGAUAACCGCGGGAAACGGCGGCUAAUACCGGAUAUGAGACGUACAGGCAUCUGUUGCGUCUGGAAAGAUUUAUCGGUCAAGGAUGGGCUUCGCGGCCUAUCAGCUUGUUGGUGGGGUGAUGGCCUACCAAGGCGACGACGGGUAGCCGGCCUGAGAGGGCGACCGGCCACACUGGGACUGAGACACGGCCCAGACUCCUACGGAGGCAGCAGUGCGUGGAAUAUUGCACAAUGGGCGCAAGCCUGAUGCAGCGACGCCGCGUGAGGGAUGAAGGCCUUCGGGUUGUAAACCUCUUUCAGCAGGGAAGAAGCGCAAGUGACGGUACCUGCAGAAGAAGCGCCGGCUAACUACGUGCCAGCAGCCGCGGUAAUACGUAGGGCGCAAGCGUUGUCCGGAAUUAUUGGGCGUAAAGAGCUCGUAGGCGGUUUGUCGCGUCUGCUGUGAAAACCUGAGGCUCAACCUCGGGCUUGCAGUGGGUACGGGCAGACUAGAGUGCGGUAGGGGUGACUGGAAUUCCUGGUGUAGCGGUGGAAUGCGCAGAUAUCAGGAGGAACACCGAUGGCGAAGGCAGGUCACUGGGCCGCAACUGACGCUGAGGAGAGAAAGCAGGGA